GUUCCUGGGUAUCACACACUUGGUAACACUUCUGCCUAAGAAAUUAAACUCUCAGCUCUCUGUGGACAUUCCCAUUGGCUAAUCUUCACUUGAACAUACAAUACCUAAAAUAAGAAAUCGGUCAGCUUUGAAUAUCUCGGACUUGUUGACAGAUCGUCUCCAUAUUUCACUUCUGUACCUCUGGCCCUACUUCUCUGCCAAUCAGCAGGAGCCUCUUCCACCAAGAAGAUCUGAAAACAAGAGGUUUUGGUUCUUAUUCAUGAUCAUGUUUGGAACCAGAUCCAGAUAUGAAUUCAACUGUCAAACACUCCAGAUGUCUCCUUGACUCCACUCAGAGGACAGGUGGUGCACCUCACCUUUCAUGUGGUCAGAUGUCCUACGACAAAAUGUUCACCAUGGCAUGGCCAAUGGCUCCGAUG
ensembl:lincRNA